UGGGCACUCCUCUAACUCCACCCACUUGUUUGGCCCGCACCGCCUCUUGUUACACCCCUAAACACAGAUGUGCCUAUUCGGAAACUAUAGUAAUUUCAUUCAGACUUCAAAUAAAGCAUGUGAAAUUUAAUUUCAUAUUCUCUCAUUUGUCAACAAGAAGAUACAUCA